rnacentral:rRNA from 1 species
GUAAGCUUGCUGCUUCGCUGACGAGUGGCGGACGGGUGAGUAAUGUCUGGGAAACUGCCUGAUGGAGGGGGAUAACUACUGGAAACGGUGGCUAAUACCGCAUAACGUCGCAAGACCAAAGAGGGGGACCUUCGGGCCUCUUGCCAUCAGAUGUGCCCAGAUGGGAUUAGCUUGUUGGUGAGGUAACGGCUCACCAAGGCGACGAUCCCUAGCUGGUCUGAGAGGAUGACCAGCCACACUGGAACUGAGACACGGUCCAGACUCCUACGGGAGGCAGCAGUGGGGAAUAUUGCACAAUGGGCGCAAGCCUGAUGCAGCCAUGCCGCGUGUAUGAAGAAGGCCUUCGGGUUGUAAAGUACUUUCAGCGGGGAGGAAGGUGUUGUGGUAAUAACCGCAGCAAUUGACGUUACCCGCAGAAGAAGCACCGGCUAACUCCGUGCCAGAGCCGCGGUAAUAACGGGAGGGUGCAAGCGUUAAUCGGAYAUUAUGGGCGAAAGCGCACG